GGCUAUAGCGAUUUUGGACCAAGGCACCGCACUCGAAAUGCGGCAUACUCGCAAGGGUAUCGGGAGUUCGAAUCUCCCCCUCUCCGCCA
rnacentral:tRNA from 1 species